CUCCAAGCUUUCAUCCGCAGUCCGCACCACUUCCAUACAGAUCACAGAAUUCGAUCUCUUUCCAAAACCUCACCGCAUCUAUCGCUGCAAAUGGCUCUAUCGGCUGGCACUGUGAUUCUCUCGAUGAAAACUCUGUUAAUUUCUGCAGGCACAGUGUCUCUGUUGAUGGCAAUGAGGUCUGUUCUUCCGUUGCUCCUCUUUGAUUUCCGGAUGAUUUGGGGCGUGUUCAUGGCGUGGCUCAGGCCUCCUUACCUUUACUUCGUCAUCAACGGAAUCAUCCUCGCCAUUGUAUUCGCCUCUCGUUUCCAGCACGAACGCCUCGAGAAGCAGCUCUCCGGUCAGUUACAGCCGUUGAUUACUGUCAGGACGCCUCCGCCUGCCGAGUUGGUUGCGUUUGCUCAGCCAGAGUACAAAUCGGUCGUGGAAGAGUCGUUUAGGGCGGCGUUCGGAGACGAACCACCGGAGGAGCUGGAUUUGAAGCCAGUGGUGGUUAACGGUUCUAUGGUGGAUUUGAAUGAAGAGAAAUUAGCUGAAGAUGAUGCGAUUGCUGAGGAGGUUAAGGAAGUGCUUAAUCCUGCCCUGGAUCCGCCGCCGGAGCCUGAAACCGAACUGCUUCCGUCACUUGCGGCGGAAAAACCGCUCGUUUCGACACGUUUCGCUCACCGUAAACCGUCCGUGAGAGCAAGUCCAGAAGGUUCAAGAGGUUUGAGAGUGUCGAGGCCGAAGAAGCAGGAGACACUGGAGACUACAUGGAGAAUGAUUACAGAAGGCCGCCACGUGCCGCUCACGAGGCACCUCAGGAAAUCCGAUGCCCUUGAGAACCAGAGCCGCCACAUAACCGCCGCGGAUGGCGUCGUGAACCCUACUCAUCAGCCGCCGCGCAACGGGGAGUCACCGAAAGCGGCGCCGACGCAUUCGUCUCGCAGCGCGUGGAUCAUGCGGAAAGAGCCGUCUCUGAGUCAGGACGAGUUGAACCGGCGAGUUGAAGCGUUCAUAAAGAAGUUCAACGAGGAAAUGAGGAUACAGAGACAACAGUCGUUACAGCAGUACAUGGAGAUGAUCAACCGUGGGGCCAAUUAGGGGAUUCAAAGAACGUGUGUGUGAAAGGAGUAGUGGUCUUGGGAGCUGCAAAGGAGUCGGUGCAGUUUUUUUGUAGCCUACAAAUUGUUGGUCGACUUGGAGUCAAAAUUUUCGGCAUUAUGGACCAUGCUGGAUUAAUCGUAAAGCUCAUUGACUCCAUCCUUUUCUAAGGCUACCUGGCCCAUAGUGACAGGUUGCUACUUGAUUUUUCCUUGGGCACCUCAGAUGAAUGGAUGUUUAUGAUGAAUACAUCUUCAAACGUUUAAAAAAUAUGUUUUAAAAUUUUAAAA